rnacentral:rRNA from 2 species
UAGGGAAUCUUCGGCAAUGGACGAAAGUCUGACCGAGCAACGCCGCGUGAGUGAAGAAGGUUUUCGGAUCGUAAAACUCUGUUGUUAGAGAAGAACAAGGACGUUAGUAACUGAACGUCCCCUGACGGUAUCUAACCAGAAAGCCACGGCUAACUACGUGCCAGCAGCCGCGGUAAUACGUAGGUGGCAAGCGUUGUCCGGAUUUAUUGGGCGUAAAGCGAGCGCAGGCGGUUUCUUAAGUCUGAUGUGAAAGCCCCCGGCUCAACCGGGGAGGGUCAUUGGAAACUGGGAGACUUGAGUGCAGAAGAGGAGAGUGGAAUUCCAUGUGUAGCGGUGAAAUGCGUAGAUAUAUGGAGGAACACCAGUGGCGAAGGCGGCUCUCUGGUCUGUAACUGACGCUGAGGCUCGAAAGCGUGGGGAGCAAACGGG